AAAGCUCAAAUUUAAAAUCUGGUAGUCUUUGGCUAUCCGAGUUGUAAUCUAGAGAAGCGUUAUCCGCGCUGGACCGUGUAUAAGUCUCCUGGAAUGGAGCGUCAUAGAGGGUGAGAAUCCCGUCUUUGACACGGACUACCAGGGCUUUGUGAUACGCUCUCAAAGAGUCGAGUUGUUUGGGAAUGCAGCUCUAAAUGGGUGGUAAAUUCCAUCUAAAGCUAAAUACAGGCGAAAGACCNAUAGCGAA
rnacentral:rRNA from 1 species